rfam:Mus musculus chromosome 4, GRC primary reference assembly.
UGCCUCUGCUCUGGCAAGAGACACCUUGUUGGUGGUAUUCUUAUAUCAGUCAGGGGCAGAGCAGCUGGCAGUCGGUGUUGGUCCUAGCUUGAUGCCAGGCUUGGUGGCCAGAGCUGUUUUAUGUCUAGGACUCAUAA